AUUGAACGCUGGCGGCAGGCCUAACACAUGCAAGUCGAACGAGUGGCGGACGGGUGAGUAAUGUAUGGGAAACUGCCCGAUGGAGGGGGAUAACUACUGGAAACGGUAGCUAAUACCGCAUACCAUCGGAUGUGCACAGAUGGGAUUAGCUAGUAGGUGGGGUAAUGGCUCCCCUAGGCGACGAUCCCUAGCUGGUCUGAGAGGAUGACCAGCCACACUGGAACUGAGACACGGUCCAGACUCCUACGGGAGGCAGCAGUGGGGAAUAUUGCACAAUGGGCGAAAUCCUGAUGCAGCCAUGCCGCGUGUAUGAAGAAGGCCUUCGGGUUGUAAAGUACUUUCAGCGAGGAGGCGUUACUCGCAGAAGAAGCACCGGCUAACUCCGUGCCAGCAGCCGCGGUAAUAC
rnacentral:rRNA from 1 species